UGCUAUUUCUCUUCAUUUGCAAGCUUAAUCUAUUAUUGUUUUAAUGGGUUGAACUUUUUUGAAUGGUAUAAGCAAAUCAAGUUUCAUUUAGGUGUCUUAAACCUUGACUUGGCAUUAUUGGAAGAUUAACUUGCUACUAUUAUGGAUAAAAGUAGUGAAAAAGAGAAGUUAUACUAUAAGUAAUGGGAAUGGUUAAACAAAUUAAGUCUUAUGUUUUUUUGCAAAUGAUUAUUGUCAACAACAUUAGGACUACAAUUCCACAAACUGAAAGUGCAAAAGAAUAACUUAAACUUGUGAACCUUAAACUUAUGAAAUAUAUGUUCCAUUUUGAAGUUAAGUCACUUCCUAGUACUCUAAUGGCAUAACUCAUGACGAUGAAGUAUGAUGGAUCGAAGAGUAUGCAAAAGCACAUUAUUGGAAUGAGUGAUAUUGUGGCAAAACUAGAAAUGUUAAGGAUGACAAUUGAUAAUUCCUUCUUAGUGUAGUUCAUUCUAAACUCACUAUCUCCUAAAUAUAGGCCAUUUCAAAUUAAUUACAACACUAUUAAGGAUAAGUGAAAUGGUCAUGAAUUGGCUAGUAAGCUAGUUUAGGAGGAAACAAGACUAAAGAAUCAAGAAACUCAUUCCGUCACCAUUAUGGGUCAAGAAGUGGAUGAAGGACUUAAAGUUAAAGCCUACAAGUUUAAGAAAAAAAGAAAGGAUCUUUAAAUGUUACUUAGGCCGAGGAAAAGGAACAAAUGGUAGUAGGACACAAUAAGAAAGAUUGCCUGAAAGAUAAAACUUGAUUUGAAAAGAAAGGUAAUAUUUAUGCUUAUGUAUAUUUCAAAUCAAACUUAUUUAAAGUUCCUAAUGAUACUUGGUGAUUUGAUUUUGGUAUUACUAUUUACAUAUCCAAUGUGAUAAAAGGAUUCCUUAAGGUCCAAAUUGAAAACCUAACUAAAACUUCCUAUUUAUGGGGAACCAUAUAAAGGCUCCAAUUGAAGGCAUAGAGACUUACCAUUGAUCUUAGAUAAUGGCUAUGAACUAGACCUAUUACAAACUUUUUAUGUGCCUUUAAUUUCUAGGAAUAUCAUUUUUGUUUCAAAACUUGAUGAAUUUGGGUUCAAUAUUAAGUUCGGGCAUAGAUAUUUCAGUUUAUUUAAUAAUAAUGAUAAUUCCAUUAUUAUUUCUAGAAUUCUUAUUGAUAGUCUAUAUUGACUGAAACUUGAUGAUAAUUUUGUUGAAUCAUUGCGUGUCACUUAUAGCAAUAUUGGAAUUAAGCAUAGUAGACUGAAUGAGAAUUCUG
rnacentral:misc_RNA from 1 species